CCCUCGGCGCCCCGGCUUUGUCCCUUCUUCCCCUUCCCAGUGCACGCUCCGAGUGUCCCCCCUGGGCGGGCGGCUCGGUCCCCGCUCCAGUGACGCCUGCCAUGAGUGUCUGGGGCUUUUUGGAGCGUGAACUCGUCGGGAUGCAAACGUUUCUUCGGCCUGGUGCUGGCACACGGGAGCGAAGUUGGGAGCCCCAGCAGCGGGAAUCCCACUGGAAUGCUGGCUGGGGGAGUUCUCCACCCGAAUUCUGGAGCUGGAAUCUGGCCCUUAUCCAUGGGGAGGGGGCUGCUGUGUCCUCUGCAAGGGUUUGGCCACAGGGGGUGAUCCCAGAGGAUGAGAUCCCAGAGGAUGGAGACCCCCUGUGCACAGAGCUGGCUGUCCCCAGCAGGACCCUGCUCUGUCCCUGAGUGGUGUGAGCCACCAGCAGGUGCCAAAACCCACAGGAUUUGCCUCAGAACAGAUUUCUUGAUAUUUGGGCGGCCUCCAGGAGGGCUGCAAAGUGAGGUCCUGGGGAGGACUCCACUCCCCAGCCCUAGGAGGGGGAGGUCACAGCUCAGGCUGCACCUGGGGAACUGAUAAAAAUACAGAGUUAAAAGCAGAGAUAGCAAAUUUUCACUUCCCCUCACUGGCUGCUGCCAACUCCCCUCAGAGCUUCUUGGAAAGGCAGAGGUCAGGAGGGGGAGCAGAGGCUUUCCUUGGCUCUCUGUGUGGCCCAGAGCUUGGAAGAGCCAAAAUGAGUCACUGACCCUCAUCCCAAUAAGCUUUUCCCAGCAGCUGUGGGAGGAGGGGUGAAGAUUUCCCAAUAAAGGGAUUUUUUUUUUUUUUUUUGCCGAAAAAAUUGUCAGCAUCUUGAAAAAAUGGUGUCCCUCAGUGGGAAUUAUCCAUCUAAAAGCUCUGGGGACAUCAGGGAUGCCCAAGAGGAGCAGGAUAAUGUGGAUUCCAGCAGUGCAUCCCAGCAGCUGCUCCAGCUCAACCCGAGGGAGGCAGCUCUGGGAUCACACCGGGGAAACAGAGAAAUUGUGGGGUUUUCUCUGCAAGAACCAUCCUAAAACCAACCCAAUUCCACCUGCUCCCAACCUUCAAAUCCUGAAAUAUUUUCAGCCCAGACCCCAGGGGUGGAGAAGCUAGGAUGGGACCACUCAGCCAGCACCAGGCUCCUUCUCCACCCUCCCAAAAAGUUCUUUCUGGACCUCAUCGGGCCAGAUUGAGUCACCCAAGUGCCGUGACAUCAGCGGUGGUUUUGCGAGCGAGCAGCCGCGUUUCCUGUGGCUCCUGUAGACACAGACACGCAGGGAGAGAUGUGAGCUCUCAGCUCCUGCUCCUUCCUCCCCCCAGGAUCGCUUCCCUCAGCCCUCUCCUCUCUUCCCCAGCGCCAGCGGGCAGGGCCGGCGGCGGAGCUGGAGAGCUGGAUCCCGCUGAGAGGAUGAAAACAUGGGGCUCAGGUUAUCCUGCCUGAAAGGCCUGAAGAUGUGUGUGAGCAGCGGGAACGGCGGCGAGGGGACCUCGAGGGCGGGACAGAAGCACCUGCACGUGCCCUCCAUCAUCGUCACACCUCCCACGCCCACGGGCACCGCGCUGGCCCGGCGUGGGGAGGGCCCCUCACCCUGCAGCCCGUGCUGAGAGGGGACACGGGGGACACCCGGCCCGGCAGGACCUGUCCUCGCUCCGUCGGGAUGGAGCCACAGCCCCCAGGGCACGGCUGCAUCUGCCAGGGACACGCGGGGCACCCACGCGGGUGGGUGUGGACACCAGGGACUGGGGUUUGUCCCUUUUCCUGACAGCGCCGGGGAGGGGGCAUCCCGCCACGGUGAAUAAAACCUCUGGGGCUCCGCA